rnacentral:lncRNA from 1 species
GCCGAAACACCGAAUGAAACAGCUGCCCCCACCGCUGGGUGCGAAGAGUUUAAGGAUUACCGAAAGAAACGUGCAUCGUCGACCGAAUCCAAGCCCCAACCAAGAAGGGUUUUAUAAGCUUCCGUCCCACAUAGCUCCAGCAACACAACUUAAUGACAUGCCUUUGCAAUGGAACAUCCACAUCAUUUCACCCCCCAAGCCUAGAGAUCGUCUCCAGCCUCAGCAUAAAGAUAGCCCACAUGCCACCAGUGCUUCGUCAAAACAUCCAAAUUUCCACCAACAGCCCGUGUCCAGCCUCAACAAAAGCACAGACGCCUGCUAGAAAUGUAUCAUCGAC